UCAUAACAUUUCAGUGGUUAAAAUAUUGUUUUAUAUUAACCAUAUAGAACCCAUGUUGUUAGUUAUGUAUGUUUCUUUAAUGAUAUGUCGUGUAGUGUGGUUUUGGGGAUGUUUUUGACUGUGGGAGAGCAAGCUAACUAUUAAGCUGUCGUUGUUCUCACCUAUUUGGGGUGUGCGUGUGCGUGUGCGUGAGCGUGCAAUCGUGCAUUGCGCUGGAUGUGCCUUAUUCCUGUACAGGCCUGUUGUUAUUGAGGAGCUCACGCGCAUGUCCUCUUCAUAUAUUCCACCACACUGCAGGAGCUCCUGGCAUGUCCUCUUCAUAUAUUCCACCACACUGCAGUUUGACUCUACUUGGGCUGAAAGGAGUACACUCCUGUUCCAAAGCCGCCUCUGUGUCCCUCCAUCGUGCACCAGAACACAACAUGGGGACACACUGGCAGCCCGGCUACACUUGCAAAACAAUGGUGUGUGUGAGUGACAGGAAAAAAAACUCUGACUUGCUUUUGGAGAAGUCACUUGGCACCACCUGCUGGUUUGCACGGAUAAACAGACCCGUCUUCAUCAGGUGUUUUUUGUGGGGAAAACAUUGUAUAUUGGUAUCAUAAAUCAGCAAGUUGAGGUGCAGCAUCUGGGGCCGUAUUUGAUCUUUUUACGUCGAAAAAGUGAUGAAGAGAGACCCCAAACAAGGGGACAAAACCCCGCCCACUCUGGACUAAGCACCUCGGCCUCCUGUGGACAGGGUGCCUUCUGCAGAGGAGCGCCCCGCAUGAGAGCGCACUUUGUAUGGACUCAAGUAGAGUGCAGCUGAUGCAAGUGUAUUAUUAAUAAUGCAUCCUGCACAUGAAUCACUUCUUAGGUCUUUGUUCUCAUGCUUUCAUCACUCUGUGUUUGUUUGUGUGUGGAUCCACAAUUUCAGACUUGAAUUUAGGGUUGUCAGCGUAAAAAGUGUCAUGUAACAUAAACAGUCCGUAGAAUGAAUGACCAGCAAGUUCUAUUGUCUUGUGAGUGAUCAGGUCAUGUGAUUUGUAUACUGAUCAAGCUGCAUGGGUUGCUAUGGCAACGGUGUUGACAUUGGUACAUACGCUGUCAUUGCUGUUCUGUUUCUGUCGUGGCAUUAACGAGAAGUGGAAAUAGCACUAAUGUAUUGAUGAUAGUCAAGUAUGAGUAGAAUUACUUUGAUGACAUUUUACUCAAGUACAAGCAAAAGUGUCUAAAGAGUAAAAGAAGUAACCAAUUUAAGUUCCUUUUUAAGAACAAUUAAAUAAAUUUAAAAAAAGAACAAUUAAAGGAAGAUUGUACUCAAAUAGCAAAACCUAUGAAAAUGUAAUGGCAAUUAGCAGAGUACUUAAUAGAAUACUACAGCUGUAGUGAGACAGUUGCAAUGAAACUGCAUUCAUUAUUUGUGGAUACAUUUGAUCUGCGAUUGGCUGGCGACCAGUCCAGGGUGUACCCCACCUCUCACCCCAAAUCAGCUGGGAUAGGCUCCAGCAUUCCCCCUUCCGAUUCUGCACCUCUAACUGCAGUGUUUCCUGCUUCCCGCCCAAAAAGUCUGUGUAAUUUACUCCACACCCGGCCGUCCUCCAGGUACGCCUCCUGCCGAGCCCACUCCGCUGUGAUUGGUCACACUCCCAAGCGCUCCUGAGGACUUCUGGACAGCUGCGGAAACAGUUUAUCAGUUAGGGAACUAAUACAUUGUUACUUAGAGCUUGCCCUCCUCACUCUUCAACACAACUUCAGCAACAGUUUGGCAGAUAGUCCAGCUUUUUAUUGGCCCAUGUUUACAAAACAGUCCCAUGCUAAAUGCUGUUGACAGAUGAGCAUAUUUUUCUCUUCCUGGCCGGGAAUGAGCAACCCCAACCACUCCUGCCUGAUGCUUGCUUCUUUAGGCACACCUGAACAAACAUUUCCUGGGAGCAUGGUGAACAGAGCAGAGCGAAGCAGAGCGGGGGAAGGGCAGGCCUACAACUUUUGCCUGGGCAUGCCCAUACAAGGAUGUGCGGGUUGCAUUGACGUCAGUGGAACUCGGUGUUCAAAAAAACUCACAAAAAACACAGCGUGCAGAGCUGUCCAAAACUGCUUUCAGGUCUCACUUCCAAAUGUGCAAACCUCAUUAUCUGACGCGUUGGCAGCGUUUAACAAAGAAUAAUAAAACAUUGUAACAACAUUUAUAGGUCAGAAAAGAGGAAAAGCAUAAUAGGUCCCCUUUAAGGAAAAGUACAAAAUGUUAACUGGACCAGAGGUACAAGUACACAAAAAAUGACUCUGUUCCAGUAAACACACAAGUAACUCUAGUUUGUCUGAAUUUUACUGAUAGUUAUUCCAAAAAGUAUGAGAACUAAUGCUGUGAAACAUUCAGAAUUGUUAGAAAAAACGUUUCAGAAGUCUCACAGGACUUCAAAAUUACGUGAAUUAUCAAAGUUAAAAUAGGUGAGAAGCCAUCUCUGAACAGAUGACACCACCUUUUUCCCACAUACAAUCCUGUCCUUUCAUCCCUUCCUAAAAGAUUCAUUUAACCUCUAACAAAUAAACCACCGUUGUUGUUUUGUAUCUUAACAAUCAUUUGACACCACUAAAGAGCAAAAUCAUUCGGUUUGGACCUGCCUUUUCCUUUAGAGGAUAAAUACAUUGGAUCUUGCACCAAGUUCUCAGGCUAGAGCUGUCCUAUCCAGUCUGACUGGAGUGUGUCCCACCUAGUCUUUGAGCAUGAACUGAUGAAGCCUGCUGGGAUGAGAGGCGAAACGUCUUCUAAGACCAACAUUAACAGUCCAGUUGCUAUCCAUUCAGUGCCCUGAGAAUUUUGAACGAUUCCAGUUCCGAUCCCGAUUCCUCAUUUCGAUUCCAGGUCAUAACGACUCUCAGUUCUGAUGCUUUUUAGAGGCAGGGUCAUAAAAGUUUGCAUGGUUUAAAUGAGGGUGCUGUGAGUUAUUUUUGGAUGAAAUGUCUGAACUUCUCCAUGAAUACUUUAAUAUGAACCUUUUAUCAACUUUACUAUGAAUUUCUUACAGGGCUAUGUUCAACCAGUAUAUAAAUAUCAAACCAUUUUACUUGAAUAUACAUGUUAUGAAGUUUCUUUUUACAGGAGUACACUUCAGACGUUUACUUUUGAAAGUAGUAUACUUUGAUGCUGCCUCAAUGUUGGUGUAAGCUAUGUUUUAUGAAACCCUUAUUUUGUAAACACAGGAAAGAGGAUAUAGCUGAAACCGCUCUUAUUUUGAAGGCCAGAAGUGUGUUGUGUGAAUUGAGAAGGUCUUUUGACUGUUGCUAACAGAGACGUGCUGUGCAAAAGAUGAACUUGCCUAGCUGUAGCCGUAGUUCGCAUCCUUUAUUUACACUGAACUUCCACAUCAGCUAGCAUCCUGAAACCAACGUCAAUGAGGCCAACGUCAUUUAUUGUUUGACUUCCCAGAUUCUGACUGCUUAGAUCAGGGAUGUUCUCAGUGAGGGCCGCAUACGGUAAAAUCAAAGAAUACACGGGCCACUUUGAUAUUUUACAUGUUGUUUUUCAUGUUUCGAGGGCCGAUAAAAACACAGCCGAAGGCCACAAAUGGCCCUCUGGCCGCACCUUGGACACCACUGGCUUAGAGGAAGUCCGACGUAGCAUAUCAAAGACAAGGUACUGUGUUGUUUCUACACCAUGAAUGUGUGAACAUAAAUCAUGUUGGUCGUGAACCCUGAUGAUAUCAUUGUGUUGCAAAUGUUGCACUGACCCGUCCGCUCUUUUUAUUAUGAAGUUAAGCCAAAGUUUUCAGCGCUUCUUCUUUGUGGCUAUUUCUUCCGGGCGUCAAAACGCGUGUCGAAUCUAGGAAUCGAAAUAAAAACAUUUGAAUGAUCCUGGGAGAAUCUGAAUGUUAGUCCCGUUGAUGCUCGAGACUCGAUGGCCAACCUUACUGAGAAUACAAUGACCUGAAUGAAUGAUAAUAUUCACAGGUUUAAGGUCGGGUGUUAUUUUUCCAUCUACUUAUUUUGAUCAAAGUUAAGGUAGGGUAUUUUUUCAUGUAUUUAUUUGGAUCUUUUCACACAUUCACAAAAAGUGAUGUGAUUGGUUGGCAUCAUUUGCCAUAAAAGUUAAUGCUGAGUGUUAUUUUCUUUUUACAUUUUAAUUGUCAUAGUUGUGAGCUUAUUGUUACACUUGUGUGAGUAUUGUGUUCUGAUUGCGACAGUUUGACCCUGGAACAGAAUAUUUCUAAUUCUGUUAUUUCCUAUGAAAAACGUGCUAAUAACAACUGGACAAAUGUAAUAUAUUUGGACUGGAAUGUACUCUUUAUUAUACAAUGGACCAUUUAGCCACACUAAAUUUGUAAGACUCCUAAUUUAAAAAUCUUUAAUUUUCGUAGAUCAACUUUAAAGUACACACCCUUGCUUUCUUUACAGCAAGUAAACAUAAUGACCAAAUGUCACAUAGUGAAGUUACCACCUUAAUGCCUCGUUAACCAUGUAUUUAAAUGUCAGCUGUAAAGUAAUUUGACCUUUCUGACUAAGCAGUGACGGCUGGUGGGCGUGUCCACGAUUGUGCGUGGGUAUUUUCCAACCAUGUGUUUCCCUGCAUCUUUCUGCAACAUGCCAGGUCUCUCACAUGGAGAGCUUGCUGUACGACUCUUCCUUCAGCCAAAGAUUGAUGAUUAAUUAAGCUUAACUGUCAAGAAACUGUGAUGGUCAAUCAGUGCAGGCAGAUGAUGAAUAGGAUGCUGAUUGCACUGGGACCACUGGCCUUGUAUACACUACACACUUCCGAGUCACUCACAUUAGCAACCACCCCUGGGGAUCCGCACUACUUGCGUCACCAUAAUCCUCACCAUAAUAAUCUGCAGCUAACAUUAUGGGAUCGUUAUUUAGCCGGAAAUGUUUACAAGGCAGUCUCGUGAGAAUGUAUGAGACAUAAUGGCAUUUUUUUUAGACAUAACCUCUAUUAGCAGUGCUAUUCAAAGUACAGCCUGGGGGCCAUUUGCGGUCUGCAGCUUGUUUUUUUUUUUUUUAUUGGCCUGCAGCACAUUGCAGAAGUUGAAAAAAGGGCAUGUAUAGUGGUCCCUGUUUAUUGUGGUUAAUUGUUUUCAAGACCCGACCACUAUAAGUGAAUUUUCGCGAAGUAGGAUUCAGUAUUCAUAAAUUUAAUAUUUUCAUAGUUAGAGUGUAGAAAACCUGUUUAUGACCUUCUGAAUACAUUUUUUCCCACUAUUAGAGCAUUGUAGACAUGAAAUAACACCCCUAUAGUCACCUUUACACUAGAAUUAGACAUAAUACAAAAUUGGCCAUUUUAGACAUACUGUAAAUAAGAUACUCACACAUUAAUAAUAAGACUCACACAUUAGCAUUGACAGCGUAUUUCCUGGUAGCUAUUGUGUCAUCAAUGUAAUGUUACUGACACCUAGAGACCAGUGUAGAAUACUACUCUACUGCUGCUGUUUGUGGUUAAGGAGAGACUCACGAUGCAAUUGUAUGAAAAUCACACAGGAGCUGCUGUCGGCCACUCUCUACACUGCUAACCUGCUGCUAGCCCUCAGCUAACAGUGAACUCUAGGAGCAGACGUCACACACGUCACUUCCCAGGCCCUGUUUCUUAGAGGCGCACACAACAAGUCACAGAUACUGUAGUACACUUUUGAAUGCCUUAUAUUUGUAUUCUUGUUCAUUUUGACAUUUUUAUGCUUGAAAAUGAUUAAUUUAGGCCAUGAAUACGUACAAAUUGCUUAAAUAUGCAUUAUUCUUACUAAUAAUAGACCAUAUAAGCCGUCUAUUGACAUCUUUUCAAAAAGUAACGUUGACGUCCAAACUACCCCUUUAGGGUUCCCAUGCUUUCAAGGAAGCCCCCGGGUGUUGGCAGCUACACGGGGAAAAACGGGGAAAAUAUGCACUUUUUUCAAAAUAUGCCAACACUUUAGCGUAGAUGACUGGUUGGCUGGCUUUGACCAAUUUCAAAUAGGAUUUCACUUAUGCAAGAUUGUCACAGCAGCAGUAGCAGGUGCAUGGUUCAAACACAGUUGACUAAUUUAAGGACAUUUUUUCUGAUCUAUUUAUAGUGACUAAUAUGUGUACAUUCAGGCUUUGUAUCAACUAAGUAGUGUUUUUCAAUGGCUGAUAUGAAGGGACAAUAACAUAUGCUGGACAUGUCCAAUUCUGAUCUUAAAACAAAACAAACAUCUCAAAGUAGUGAAGGACAGAAGUCAUUUAAAGUCCGUAAAAAGGACAUUAAAAAAAAAUAUAUAUAUAGCAGUCGUUAUGGCCCCUGGCAGAACUGUCAGAUGUCAUUUAUGCUUUGUUACACUUUGCAAAGACUGGUAGCCAUGAGGCAGGAAACUCAAAGUUAAGUGUACGACCCCUUAGGGAAUCUCCACCCUGCAUCGACUAUGUUGUGUAUUAGCAUGCAUGCGACAGAAAAGGCUGUAGGUGCAAAAGAAAAAAGAAAAAGAUUUUAAUCUGUAAUGGCUCUCACAGAUUUCUUCACAGUGAAAUUAGCAGCUGCUUUGGGUAAUUCCACAGAUAAAAGUGCCAGAUAGGGCAGCCUAGCAACGUUCCUGAUUUAGAAAUUGCUUUGCAUCUUUUAAAAAUGCAUGAAACAGAGAAUUUAGAGAUAAUACCACAUUGACCCAAAUAUAAGACAACCUCUUGGUUUGCAUGUAUACAUUUCUCAAUCCUAAAGACAACCCGUCUUUUUCCAACUGUUUUUUAGCGACAAAUUACAUUCAGGUCAAUACGCAGGUGCAAUGAGUGGUUUGACACUAUCUAACUACAUUAUUUGGACAAACCCGUCAUGAAAGUGCACCAGCAGGCAUUGUGGUGUUAUAUUUAAACCAUGGUUGUGUUUGAUGGACGUAAACUUUAACGAGAGCCACGAGCCUCACUGCCUUAAGUACAAUGGAGAAUCUCGUCAAUCCAACAGCUGGGACUUGAAGUUUCUCCAGACAUCUUUAAACACUGAGCUGUUCCACACAUUUCAAUCAUCUGCAAACCUCUGAGGAGUUUUUAAUGUUGACAAUGAGAAGUGUUGAUUCAUUUUAAAAACCUAGAAUGCCAUUAUACAUGCAAGAUAAGCAGUGAUUUUGUCGCAUGGGAAUGACUGACUCAAAAACUCUGGUAAUAACACUACCACGAUACAGCAAUUGUAUGGUAAUUGGUACACUAUCAAGAACUAUGAUACAUCAUAUUCAUGUAACUCACUCCAUAAAGUUUUCUUUAUUCAAAAUUGUACCUAUCACAAUAAUAAAAAAUACAAUGCACAAACAUACUUCAGUAGAAAUUCUUAGAUUGAUUUUGAAAGACACAUGGGUCAUUAAUGAAAAUCAGAAUGUCUAUUGUUGCAGCCAUAACCCAUGCCAAGCUAAAACUCAACUUUGAACCCCUGAUGUCACUUGCUGUCUUCCUUACCUCCUACCUAGGUGUGAUAUUUCAUUGGCAUCUAAUGAUGUUAAAAAACGUAUUUAGAAGGUUGUAAACAGGUUUUAUACACUCAAGUACGAAAGUAUUACAUUUAUGUAUAAGAAAUCCUACUUUGCGGAAGUUCACUUAUCACAGUCGGAUGUGGAACCAAUUAACCCCGAUAAACGGGGGAUUAUUGUAUUAUCAAAAGUUAUAAUAAGGAAAUAAUCACAAAUAAUGUGUCUUCUUUGGACGUUGCAGCCACUUUUUUUGGCUGUCCUUGAACACACCAUGUGCGGCACAGAUUGAGACUUGUGUAUGACUUUCUCCGACGCUGCACAGAGAGACGUGUAUUUUCUAUGUGUCCUUUCACCUCGUCCUUGUUUACAAAUGUUAAUGCUGUGUGUAAAUGCACAGAAGUGAGCUUCAAUAAUGUUAGCCCUGUGCUGCUGUGCAUUUUCGCUUGGUGCAUAAUCUAAUGCUAUAUGUGCUCAUAUGUCCAUUUGUCAUCGUCUGAAGGGGUACGCGACAGCGAAAAGUUUGGGAACCACUGCCAUUCAUUUGGGGAGCGCCACCCCCUGGCUCUAUGAAGUAUCGACUCAUAAGAAAAUAGGCGGUGGGCGUCCUUUUGACUGCCUGACUACUAAACAAAUAUAUCAAUAUUUGACUGUAGGGAAUUGAUCAUUUCUCACACAUGCUACAUCGACAUGUUAACAUUGCGGAGGUGUUAGUGUGCGAGCACAUCUCUACUUUCAGAUCACACAUUUCUCUUGACACUUGCUCUCCCUCGCUCGCUCUUUUCUUCUUUCCACAUGAGCGCCCCAGCCCGGUCUCUCCCUGAGGUGAGUCCAGCAGCAUCAGACAUGUCUCAUUGGAAAAGUGGAUCCUCACUUCCCAACCAGAGGGGGCUGAAGGCCCGGUGCUUGGCUGUCCGCCCCCCGUGGGUCUUAAUGACUCACCCAAGCACAAAGCUGAAUCAUACACAGACAUAGAAUGUUUUGUUUUUACAAUUUUAUUUAGGUAAGUACGGUAAGUAUCUGUCAUUCCAAACUUGAACUAGCAUUUAUGGCUUGCAUGUUGCAGAAUAUGUACAACCUCUAAGGACAUCAUUAAUGAGUGAAUGCGUUCCUCUACCACGCGGCUUUACAGUGUAUUGGUUUCUUCUCAGUGGAGUGAUCCUAAACCAACUCCUGAGGCAUAAAGUUCACAUGCGGAACGCUUACAUAUCUCCAACACAGCAGCACUUCUACUCUAAUGAGCUUCACGGUUGGUUGCGCCUCCUUGUACCUUUUCCAAGGAGUCUGAGAAGUAAAAAAAAAAAAAAAAAAAUCCUGCUACUUGACGACAGGAAAUCCAACAACUGCACCGGAAGCAAACAAUUUUAACUGUAAAUGACUGUUGUGGGCCUCUUAUGGGUUGUGCUAAAAAUGCAUUUGAAGACAUGCAUAGACAUUACAUACAUGUAAUACAGGUAUCAUUUACUGUAGUAGUUCAUUUCAUAUCAUUGAAUACUUUUAUCAUCUUAAGACAAAUGCCCCAUGACUGCUAAGUCAGUUAGCUUGAUGGCAGCCAUGUUUUUUAACCAAUUUUGCUCAAAUUUGAGAAAUUAUAGCCCUGGAAGAGUAAAGUCAGAAUAUUAUGAGGAAAAAAAGGCGUAAUUUUGCGAGAAUGAAUUUCAGUUUAUUGAGAAGAAAGUCAUGAUAUACCAAAAGUAACCUGGGAAAACUUUACAACAUGUUUCCUUUGAGGAAAAAAUUGAAUUACACGAAAAUAAAAUAUCAACUAUAAAUUUGUAAUAUAGUAAAAAUGUGAUAUUAUGGAAAAAAAUGAUAUGAUAAAAAUUGUAAAUUUCACAAAAGGAAAGAAGAAUUUUAUUAGAAUAUAACCCAUUUCACGAGAAGACAGUGAAAAGAAAAAAAAAACAACAACCUUGUAAUAUGAGAAACAAUCUGAAUCAUAAAAGAAAAAAUUGAAAGUAGUCCAUAUUUAUGAGACCAUAAUUACAUGUUUUGAAAAGAAAGUGAGAAUAUACAAAAAAUGUAAUUGUAAG